rnacentral:rRNA from 2 species
CUACGGGAGGCAGCAGUGGGGAAUAUUGGACAAUGGGCGAAAGCCUGAUCCAGCAAUGCCGCGUGAGUGAUGAAGGCCUUAGGGUUGUAAAGCUCUUUUACCAGGGAUGAUAAUGACAGUACCUGGAGAAUAAGCUCCGGCUAACUCCGUGCCAGCAGCCGCGGUAAUACGGAGGGAGCUAGCGUUGUUCGGAAAUACUGGGCGUAAAGCGAACGUAGGCGGUCUAGUAAGUCAGGGGUGAAAUCCCGGAGCUCAACUCCGGAACUGCCCUUGAAACUACUAAACUAGAAUCCUGGAGAGGUCAGUGGAAUUCCGAGUGUAGAGGUGAAAUUCGUAGAUAUUCGGAAGAACACCAGUGGCGAAGGCGACUGACUGGACAGGUAUUGACGCUGAGGUUCGAAAGCGUGGGGAGCAAACAGGAUUAGAUAACCCUGGUAGUCCACCCCGUAAACGAUGAUAACUAGCUGUCCGGGCUCAUAGAGCUUGGGUGGCGCAGCUAACGCAUUAAGUAUUCCGCCUGGGGAGUACGGUCGCAAGAUUAAAACUCAA